UGUAUUAGGAAUAUGGCUGUAAACCUGCAGGCUAGAAAAGCUUUGUAACCAUGCAUUCACCCGUGUAUCUCCUAGGCCAUGACGAAGCAAUCGUACUGAGUACACCAGGCCAUCAUGAAGCAUUCACCCUUCAUUGGUUACUGGACAACAAGAGAGUUUGAACAGUUAAGUGUUCUGGGGACCAAACCUUAUACAUGGAUUUUCAAUUGUGGGCAGGGUGGAACCCCGAACACCAAGUUGUUCUACGGUCAGCUCUACUCAUCCUUGGGGAAGAACGAAGCAAGCACGACCUUUGUGAACAACAGAAAAGAGGAAAAUAGAAAUAGAUUUUCUGUUUUAA